UAAAGGAGGUCCUCGGCCACUCUUCCUCCUUUUCGUCUCCGAUUUCUGAGCGAGUGUAUUGCUUUGCCUUCCAUCCGGAGCCAUCGUGGUCCUGGAAUGUCCCAUGAUGGACUGCUUCGGGAAGGAGGAGGGAGCCACGUUUUGCCGAUUUUGGAGACGGUGGUGGUUAGGCACCAUGACCUCGUGCUGGCUUCUCUUGAGGUUUUAUCAGACUUGAUACUCAUCCCGGUGAUUUGAUUUGGAUCAGAUUGUUGGAUUUGUCUCAACAGUCCAUGGGAGGAUUGACUAGCUCUUAAAAUGAGCAGAAGGUUAGGGUGCCAGUGAUGUCUAAUACCAUACAGACCAGAAGAAAGGUGUUUAAAAUACCCAGCUUUCAUUAAAGAUACGUAAAAUUGGUGGAUGAAAUAAGAUUUGGAGACUUGAAAAAAGGUGUGACCUUAGAAGAAACAACCCUUGCUUAUGAAUAUGAAGCUUGGACUUGACUGUUCCAGCUGUUAUUGGGAUAAAAUAGUCUUGUUUUACUUUUUUCAAAUAAAUAAAAAAUGUUAACUGAG